ensembl:misc_RNA Metazoa_SRP Metazoan signal recognition particle RNA
GCUAGACAUGGUGGAGCACGCCUGUAGUCCCAGCUACUUGGGAGGCUGAGGCAGGAUGAUUACUUGAGCCCAGGAAGCUGAAACUGCAGUGAGCCAUUAUCACCCCACUGCACUCCAGCCUGGGCAACAAAGUGAGACCCUGUCUCAA